GCCCGAAACGUCAGCUUUUGUGCUCCUGAAAUGCGGCUUGGCCUGCCGUGUUCAUCCAGCUCCACACUUUGAUAUCUUGGAUUCUCCAGGAUCUGCAGUUCCCAUUACUUUUGGGAAGGUCCCCCUGCUUUGCUAUUCUGAAAGCGAACUAAAUGCUAAUAAUCAUUGUCUGGCAGGCAAGUGAUGUUCAAAUUAUGUGGUCGGAUCUUUACCGUUAGUACACUUUACCCAACUGAUCAAGGGCGUGAAUUAACAGUUCAAAUCGGAAAAAAACCCUCAAAUAACCGUAACUGAACACGGACAGAACCAAGCAACUCUUUCUACAAUGUCACUAUUCCAACGUGGCGGAAUUUCUCAUUUGCGAUAUUGCAAUUUGAUCUUAAUGUGAUUCUUUACCAAAAAAAAUUCCAACAUUAACGAAUGUUUCUAUUGUAAACAGCACGUCUUUGUCUUAAAACAUUGCCGAUGAACCCA